UUUUUUUUUUUUGGUCGGCAAAUUCCAACCGCCAUAUUGAGGGGUAGAGUCUACUAGAUCGCCUGAGACACAGUUUAACCGAUCCCCGCCAGUUACGGACGGACUGUGUUGCUCUCAGAUUCUCCCUCUUUCAGUGUACUACUAGAUCCUAACGAAGAUUGUCUCUUUCUUGCGACAUCACUCAGCGCUUCCUACUGGUGUCGGGACAGGAAGUCUCCGGAGAGACCCGGCCGAAAACCGCGAGUAAAGAAAAGUGGAGCCUAGCUAAAGACGCCUUUGUGUGAAUAGUACAAAGUCACUCAGGAAAACCUCAGCACCUGGAAUCCUUGUAAACUCAGCGACAACCCUACCGCGAGGCGAAAACAGUUUGCGAAGAAAGCCUGAAGGUGAUUCAAGGGAAUGGAUACAGCAAAAUAAUAUCUUAUCCAUAGUCUUGGGAGACAGUCUUCAUCAACCACAUUAUGUAGAAAAGCUAGAGAAAAUUCUCCGAUUUGUGAUUAAAGAAAAGGCUCUUACAUUACAGGACCUUGAUAAUAUCUGGUCAGCACAGGUAAGAAAUUGAGCUGUAACUAUUUUCUAGGAAAGAUACUGAAAAUGAGAAAAUUUGUGGUAAUCCUUAUGUAAUGGUUAGCAAUUUAGUAUUGCCUGCCUUUUGCUGAUGCAUAUGUUAUUUAUGGAAAGAAAUCCUACCGAAUUUUUUAAGCAAAAAAUAACUUUUCUGUCUUUUUAUAUACUAAUGCGUAGCACCUUACAGAUGGUUUUAAAUGAAAGAGGUAUAUCGCAAAAUAAUUAUCAUUAAAGGAAUGAUUGUUGGAAGAGUAUAAAGAAUCUGCAGUUGGAGUUUUUCACCUAUAUAAUGCAUAGAAGAAACAAAUGUCACAAGAGAGGCAUUACUGUGAUGUUUAAGAACUUAGGAUUAUUACAGAAGAUUGUGGCUGUUUAUUAAAAAAGAAAACCAAAAGCCCUGGUUUCAGAGACACGAAUCCAUUUUUUUUUUUUUACAUUAUCUUAAUGGCAGGUUUCUAUUCAUGAGUCACUUGGGGUGUUUGUUAGGCACUGGUUCAUAAAGCUAGUUUUUCCCUUUUUUUUUUUUUUUUUUUAAGAGAAACAACAAAAAUUGAGCACUUUAGCUUUGGGUUUUUAAACAGUCCACUAUUUUGAACUCUUUUUCUGUUUUAUUUGUAAAUACCUUCUAGUAAGUUUUUAUAUUAAUUUCCAAAGUUUACUAUUUAUACCCCAAAAAACUCAAAUUGCCAAGUAUUAAAUUACAGUUCUAAAGCAUUUUAAAUAGUAAGAAUUCUGUUAUUACCUCAAAUGAAGUAGGGAUGUUUAUUAAGUAAUGGGGAUUGUUUUAGUAGAACUAUUUUGUUCCUUCUAUUAAAAUUUAACUAUGCUAUUGUGACAUGGUAAAAGUUUUAUAAAAUUAUAUACUUUAAUUAUACUUCUGCUUUCUGUCGAAAUUGCUCUCUGUAACUCUGAUGUCACAGGCAGGUUGUCUAAACUUAUGUUAUCUUGGCCCCUGUCACUUGUAAUAAGUACUUAAGUUCUGUAAUUUUUAUUCUAUUUAGGCAGUGUGUAAACUAAUGCUCAUCUUGACUUCUUUGAACCAUUUAAGUAACAAUCAAAUGUUCGAAGACUCUCACUCUUGUUCUUGCCCAGGAGGUGGUUUACAGGAUGUUCAAGCCUACUAGCCCUCAGGAAUGUCUAAAGCCCCUCACUUCCACCCCUGCCGAGGUGGUGGUUUACGGGCAUAAAGCUCUUGACACGCUCAUUUUGAAGGUAUGGAUUGGAGAGACACGAGUCCUCAAUGGUCGCCGGCAGUAAAGACCCUGCAAUUUGACAUACAUUUAUCUUAAUAAUUAACUUUCUGUGCUCAUUCUAAUAAAACACUAUAAUUUUUUGUUUGCUUUUUAUUCUAUUUUGUUUUUUCAACAGGCAGAUAUUUCUCCUGGACAACUUGAUCGUCUUUUUGAUUGCUUUAAGAGCAUAACAAUUUUUGUUAAAAUAAUUUCAUCGAAGAUGGCCAAUCGAUAACAGCUCGGGAUUGCAGCUCUCAGUCAAAGCACAGAGAACUAGAGGACGCCACACUUUCAGACAAAUUCUGGUCGCUCACGAAGCACAAGAUCCCCAGUGGAGGAACCACACAGGUUGCCAGCGCGACUCUUGUGACUGGGGCAGCGGCUUCGCGGGCGCCUCGGUGGCAGCUCUCAGAGCACAGUAAACAGGGCCGGCUCCCCUUCUGACCGAGGUUUGGAGGACCUACAUGGGUCCCCAGACGACUCCUAAGGCCGGCGCAGCGGCUGUGAUGGCACCUCAGCGUGGCAGCUCUCGGCGCAGAGUAAAGGAGACUGGUACCCCUUCUGACCGAGGUUUGGAGCCCCGGGAAGGUAGAGUCACCCAUUACGGACACAAGAAGGAAGCCAGACAGGAGAAUCCUGGGCAGAAAAGCACCAUCAGUCUCAACGCUGCCAUUCUGGCCCUGGGAACUAACAACUUGGAUGUCCACUCAAGAGACCUAAUCUGAAAGUUGGUAAUUUCAAAGACGACAGGAGGAUAAAUUUACAAUCAUGGGAAGAAACCAGCGUAAAAAGGCUGAGAAUACGCAAAAUCAGAACGCCUCUCCCUCUAAAGACGAUCACAGUUCCACAUCAACAAUGGAACAAGGCUUGAGGGAGAACUAGCGCAUCCCAAUGACAGAAUCACUCUUCAAGGAAUGGAUAAUAAGAAACUUCUGUGAGUUAAAAGAACAUGUUGUAGCCCAACUUAAAGAAACUAUGAACCUUGAAAAAAGGUUUGACGAAAUCCUAUUGAGAAUAGACAAAUCAGAGAGGAAUAUAAGUGAAUUAAUGGAACUGAAGAAUACAAUACAGGAACUCUCCAAGAAGUAUGCACAGGUUUAAACACUCGAAUUGUUCAAGCAGAAGAAAGGAUAUCAGAGGUCAAAGUCCAACUUAAUGAAAUAAAACAAGAAGACAAGAUUAGAGAACAAAGGAUAAAAAGGAAUGAGCAAAGUCUCCAAGAAAUGUGGGACUAUGUGAAAAGACCAAAUUUACGUUUUAUAGGUGUACCUGAAUGCCACGGAGAGAAUGAAUCCAAGCUGGAAAAUACCCUUCAGGAUGUUAUUCAGGAAAAUUUUCCUGAACUAGCAAAGCAGGUCAAUAUUCAACCCCAGGUAAUACAGAGAACACCACAAAGAUAUUCAUCAAGAAGAGCAACCCCAAAGCACAUAAUCGUUAGAUUCACCAGGGUUGAAAAGAAGCAGAAAAUACUAAGGGCAGCCAGAGAGAAAGGCCAGGUUACCCACAAAGGCAAGCCUAUCAGACUUACAGCAGAUCUCUCAGCAGAAACUCUACAGGCCAGAAGAGAGUGGGGGCCAAUAUUCAACAACCUCAAAGAACAAAACCUUCGGCCCAGAAUUUCAUAUCCAGCCAAACUAAGCUUCACAGCUGAAGGAAAAAUAACAUCUUUUAUGAACAAGCAACUACUCAGAGAUUUUAUUACCACCAGGCCUGCUUUACAAGAGCUUCUGAAAGAGGCAUUACACAUAGAAAGAAACAACCAGUAUUAGCCUUACUAAAAAUAUACCAAAAAGUAAAGAACACCAACAUAAAGAAGAAUUUUCAUCAACGAAUGGAUAUAACAGCCAGUUAACAUCAAAUGGCAAUAAUCCUAAAUUUAAAUCGACUAAAUCCCCCAAUCAAAAGACACAGCCAAAACCCAACAGCAUGUUACAUCCAGACCUAUUUCACAUGCAAGGAUACACAAAGACUCAAAACAAAGGAAUGGAGAAAGAUUUACCAACCAAAUGGAGAGCAAAAAUAAAUAAAUAAAUAAAUAAAUAAAUAAGGAGUUGCAAUUCUCAUAUGGGAUAAAAUAGAUUUUAAAGCAACAAAGAUAUAGUGGUAAAAGGAUCAAUACAACAACAAGAGCUAAUGAUCCUACCACCCAGAUACAUAGAGACUUAGAUUCAGUGAGACAGAAAAUUAAUAAGGAUAUCAAGGACUCGAACUCAGAUCUGGAAUAAGUAAACUUAAUAAAUAUAUAUAGAGCGCUCCACUUCAAAUGCAUAAAAUAUACAUUCUUGUCAAUACCACAUCACACCUACUCAUAGGUUUAAAUGAAACAUUGAUUGGCCAUUAUUAAUACCCAUUUUUUUUUUCAGAAUAAAGCAGUAUUUCUGUUCAUCCUCCCUCUCUCUCUUCCUCUUUCUUUCUCUCCUUUACUCAUUUUUUUUUUCUUUCCUUCUCUCAAAAAAAGAAAUCAACUUGUAAACCUCUAGAUACGGGUCAGCAAUGUCUCUCUCAUUGCUUGAAUUCCUUCCUUCCCUUCCCUUUCUCCCUCCCUCCCUCCUUCCCCCCUUCCUUCCUUCAUCUCUUCCUUCCUCCCUCUCUUCCUCCUUCCGUCCCUUCCUGCCUUCCUCCCUUCCUCCUAAAAAAAAAAAAAAAAAAAAAAAAUUUCAUCACAAAUGUAGAAUCUUAAUGUUCUUUCACUUAGAUUAUUGCUUUGAAUUUGUUUCCACUGGCACUUUUCAUUUUGAUUUUGGUUAAAAUAACCUGUAGAAAUGCAGAGAAUAAUUGGAAAAUGAGGUAUGAAACAUUCAGGUUCUUUGGAGUUAUAUAUACGGCCAUAUAGAAAUGAAAUUCAGAAAGCAAGAGGUUUCUAAUGUCAUAAUGUCACUUUUAAAGGCAUUUUGUUACAAUGGUCUAGCUGGUUUUUAAGGCUGGUGAAUUUAUGGAUCAAAAAUAUAAGCCCAUUUGUCAUUAUUCAUAAAUACCUAUUUCAGUAAAUUAGAUUUUUGUUGGGAGCUUUAGUUGCUAAUCAACCACAAGAGAGUGUAAUAGCUUGGCCUUUCUUUUUUAAGUGUAGAUUCAUAUAUUCUAUCACCCUGCUAUGCUAUUUCUGCAUAUAUGCCCUAGAGAAACUCAUGAAUAUGUUUACUAAGGUAUGUGUGCAACAGUAUUUUAACAGAAUUGUUUUAUUAGUAACUGGAGAAAACUUAAAUAUCUGUAUAUUACUGAAGGUUAAGUAAACUGUGAACUCUUUUUUGUUUGUUUAUUUGUUUUUUUGAGACGAAGUUUCGCUCUUGUUACCCAGGCUGGAGAUGGCAUGAUCUCGGCUCACCGCAACCUCUGUUUCCUGGGUUCAGGCAAUUCUUCUGCCUCAGCCUCCUGAGUAGCUGGGAUUACAGGCAUGCACCACCAUGCCCAGAGUUACAACAGAUCUUUAUAUAGUCUGGAUAUGAAUCCCUUAUCAGAUAUAUGAUUUGCACAUAUAUUCUAUUUCUUGGCUGAGGUGGGCAGAUCACCUGAGGUCAGGAGUUGGAGACCAGACUGGACAACAUGAGGAAACCCCAUCUCCACUAAAAACACAAAAAUUAGCUGGUGUGAUGGCGAACACCUGUAAUGCCAGCUAUCAGGAGACUGAAGCAGGAGAACUGCUUGAACCCAGGAGGCAAUGAGCCAAGAUUGUGCAAUCCAGCCUCAGUGACAGAACAAGACUCUGUCUCAAAGAAAAAGAAAAGGCCCACACUUUGCCAUGAACUGUUCGUCAGUUGGCACAGGAGCAGUUCUUUUUAAUGUGCACCAGAUGUUGCAUGGGACACAGGCCUCUGCUUUUCUUCAUUACUCUACUCUUUACCGUAUUGGGGACCAUAGCAAGAGAGAGGAGUAAAUAUUCCAGUGAUUAUUUCACACUUAGGGUACCUUCUCAAUUAUGCUUACAAUGGCAAUACUAACAUACCCAAUGCUGAAAUUCUUCUUGUCAAUGAAAUUGAUUGGCUCAAAAGGAUUAGGGAAUUAAUUGAUGAUUUCAUCUUUCCUGCAUCCAAAAUUUAUCUGCAGUGUAUAAGAAGUGGAGAAUUGCCAGCUGAGCAGGCUGUUCCAGUGUAGUUCACCUGCUACCAUCAAUGCUGUCUUCAAGCUACUUGUAGCAUUAGCUAUUGGCUGUGUAAGGAAUCUCAAACAGAUUGUAGACUGUUUUACCGAAAUGUAUUACAUAGGCACAGCAAUAACUACUUGAGAAGCACUUACUGAGUGGGAAUAUCUGCCCCCGUUGGAGCCCGUCCACCAAAAAGAUUUGUGGGACUCAAAAAUGCUGGUGCUACCUGUUACAUGAAUUCUGUGAUCCAGCAGCUCUACAUGAUUCCUUCUAUCAGGAACAGUAUUCUUGCAACUGAAGGCACAGGGAGUGAUUUAGAUGAUGAUAUAUUAGGGGAUGAAAAGCAGGAAAAUGAGAGUAAUGUUGAUCCCUGAGAUGAUGUAUUUGAAAAUCCUCAUCAAUUUGAAGACAAACCAGCAUUAAGUAAGACAGAAGAUAGGAAAGAAUACAAUAUUGGUAUCCUCAGACACCUUCAGGCCAUCUUUGGUCACUUACCUGCUUCCCGACUACAAUACUAUGUACGCAGAGGAUUUUGGAAACAGUUCAGUAUUGAUCCCCAAGAUGAUAUAUCAUACUCUCCUUAAAAGCCAACAUUACUCAUAAACAAAUGGACAUUUUCACCACUGAAAUCAAAAUCCUUCUUCCUAGCCUGGGAACAAAAAAAUAUGCUUUGGGAUGAGUCUGUUAAUCUCCGUGAACAACAUGAUGCCUUAGAGUUUUUUAAUUCUUUGGUGGAUAGUCUAGAUGAAGCUUUAAAAGCUUUAGGACAUCCAGCGAUGCUCAGUAAAGUCCUAGGAGGUUCCUUUGCUGAUCAGAAGAUCUGCCAAGGCUGCCCACCUAGGUAUGAAUGUGAAGAAUAUUUUACAACUUUGAAUGUGGACAUUAGAAAUCAUCAAAAUCUUGAUUCUUUGGAACAGUAUAUCAAAGGAGAUUUAUUGGAAGGUGAAAAUGCAUAUCAUUGUGAAAAAUGUGUUAAAAAGGUGGACACAGUAAAGCGCCUGCUAAUUAAAAAAUUGCCUCUAGUUCUUGCUAUCCAACUCAAAUGAUUUGACUAUGACUGGGAAAGAGAAUGUGCAAUUAAGUUCAAUGAUUAUUUUGAAUUUCCUCAAAAGCUGGAUAUGGGACCUUACACAGUAGCAGGUGUUGAAAAGCUGGAGAACGAUAAUGUAAACUCAGAAAAUCAGUUGAUUGAACAGAAAGAGCAGUCGGAAAAUUAAACUACAGGAAGCACAAAGUACAGACUGGGCAGGAUUAUUUAUUGCCCUGAAGCAGAAGAAAUUACUAUGAUUAGUAUUCAGCUUGCUGCUAGAUUCCUCUUUACCACUGGAUUUCACACCAAGAAAAUAGUUUGUGGUCCUGCCAGUGACUGGUAUGAUGUACUAUGCAUUCUCCUCCGUAACAGCAAGAAUGUACGUUUUUGGUUUGCAUAUAAUGUUCUUUUUAAUGUAUCAAAUCGCUUUCUGAAUAUCUUCUGGAGUGCCCAAGUGCAGAAGUGAGGGUUGCGUUUGCAAAACUUACAGUGUUUAUUGUACACUUUUUCUUGCAAGAUGGAUCUUGCCUUCUCUUUUGCAUCUUCAGGACCUAGUCAGGUGUGCCAGAAAAAACACAGCUUCUGAAAUUGAAUGUACCUGCUACCUUUAAGCUUGUGUCUUUAGAUGAAGGGCCAGGUCCUCCAAUCAAAUAUCAGUAUGCUGAAUUAGGCAAGUUAUAUUCAGUAGUGUCUCAGCUGAUUCGUUGUUGCAGUGUAUCAUUAAGAAUGCAGUCUUCAAUCAAUGGUAAAGUAGCAUGUUCCACUUUCUUUUUCACAGCAGUUUAAACAUAAUCUUUUUUCACAGCAGUUUAAAACUAAGCUUUUACAAAGCUUUAUGUAACAUUUGAUUUAAAUUAGCUCUGACGAUUUAUAAAAAUGGAACUAGUCUGAAGCUCUGAAAAAGUUUCAGCUUUUUCAUAUAUCUAAUGGAGUUCGUUUUUGUUUUUUUAAUGCAGGGUUCUGUGCUAUCUUUUGAAAUUGUUAGUUUAAGAAUGUUAAACUUUGUUUUUAGUGUCAACAUUUGUAUUUUUGCAUUUUAUCAUCUUCGUAUAGGUGACCAUUUAGGUGAAUUUUUAGUUUAAUUUAAAGUCAGAUUUUAUUAUUUAAGGUAAGAAAUUUACUAUUUACUAUUAUAAUUUUGUGAGUAAUUCUAUUGGUUUAUCAUUGAUAACAAAUCUCUUCUAGGUAUCCUCCUCUCCCCAAUCCUUUCAGGGACCCCAAUUUAUCACAGCCUAUAAUGCCAGUUCAGCAGAAUGUGGCAGACAUUUUAUUUGUAAGAACAAGUUAUAUGAAGAAAAUUAUUGAAGACUGCAGUAACUCAGAGGAUACCAUCAACUUGCUUUGCUUUUGCUCUGGAGAGAAUCCUCAGUUCUCAUCUACUGUCCUCAAUGAACUUCUCUGGCAGGUCAAAGAAAAAUAAACAUUGAUGUAUCUGUUAUCUGUUAUUUUAUUCAUUUUUUAAAUGAGUAAUUCACUAUCUUUGAACUAUUUGUAGGUUGCAUAUUCAUAUACCUAUGAACUUCGGCCGUAUUUAGAUCUACUUUUGCAGAUUUUACUGAUUGAGAACUCUUGGCAGACUCACAGUGAAUAUGCUUUGCCACCAGAAGAAUUACAAUUUCCAGUAUUCUUGAUAUUACUUGAAUUAUCAAUCACCAAAUAUAUUUUUUAUCUUUUGGUGCGCGGCUUAAUGUUCUAUCUUGAAAAACAUAUGAAGGAAAAAAGCCACUUAUUUGUAUUCUGUUCUCUUAAUGUUUCACUUUUAUGCUUAAUAUUAGGUUUUGUCCUCCAUUUACUGUUUCUAUUUAUUUUAAAAAAACCAGCAAGACUUUUGAUUCCUACUUAAGUUCUAUUAAUAUUUUAAGAUUAUCAUGUACUUUUUCUAGAAUUAUAGUAGAAAACAGUUAUCUAAAAGCAAUCCCUCACCUCUAAGUAGUUAGUUUUAUAUGUAUAUAAGAAAAAAGGGCCGGGCGUGGUGGGUCAAGCCUGUCAUCCCAGCACUUUGGGAGGCCGAGGCAGGUGGAUCUUGAGGUCAAGAGAUCGAGACCAUCCUGGUCAACGUGGUGAAACCCCGUCUCUACUAAAAAUACAAAAAAUUAGCUGGGCAUGGUGGUGCGUGCCUGUAAUCCCAGCUACUCAGGGGGCUGAGGCAGGAGAAUUGCCUGAACCCAGGAGGCGGAGGUUGCAGUGAGCCAAGAUUGCACUCCAGCCUGGGUAACAAGAGCGAAACUCCGGCUCAAAAAAAAAAGAAAUGAGUGUAAUUUCAAAACUGAGAUUAUGCUAUAACAGGUCUAUAAAUAUACCCCUAGAAUUCUCAGUUGUUUUCUCUGCAGUAAAAUCAGUAUAAGAAUUACACUGUAGAAUUAGUUGCCUAACUCUGCCUAAAAAUUACUUUUUUCCUCAUGGGAAUUUUAAAAUAAUAGCUUGUUUUAGGAACAUACACACACGUACACACACACACUCAUUAGACAUUGUAAUAAACAGAAGAAAAACCUGAAAACAAAUUUAUUAUAAAGCCGCAGAACACAGUACUAAAAGGCAAAGCAUUGUCAUCUUCUAUUUUAGAGAACUGAAAAUAUUGGACUUCAACAAUUAGAAUUAUCAAAUUGUGAUUCAGUUUCCCAUCAAGCAGAUCAAUUAACGUAAAAGUGGCAUUAGAUCAGUAAAGUUUUAAAUUAGAUUCUGUUUUGUUUCUUAAAAUUUUACUGUUUUAAACAAUCUGUAGGUAAAUAUUGCUAUGUGACUUCCAUUUAUUUAUUUAUGUAUUUCUUUAUUUACUUAUUUUGGAUACACAGUCUUGCUCUGUUGUCAGGCUGGAGUGCAGUGGCGUGAUCUCAGCUCACCUGCAACGUCUACUGCACAGGUUCAAGCGAUUCCCCUGCCUCAGCCUCCCAAGUAGCUGGGACUACAGUUGUGUACCACCAUGCCUGGCUAACUUUUUGUAUUUUGGUAGAGACAGGGUUUCAGCAUGUUGGCCAGGAUGGUCUCGAUAUCCUGACCUUGUGAUCUGACCACUUAAGUCACCCAAAAUGCUGAAAUUACAGGAUGAGCCACUGUGCCCAGGGUAAUGGAGAUCUUAAAAGAAAAUGGACCUGGGCAGUGGAAUGGCUAGGAGACAAAGUUGAAAGAAAACCAUAUACUGGAAAUCCUCAGUAUACUUAAAACAGUUGGUCUCCUCCAGUACAAAGCAAUGAAACAUCAAAUGGUUAUUUCUUAGAAAGAUCACAUAGUGCCAGGAUGAUACUUGCGAAAGUUUGUGAACUCUGUCCAGAAGAGGUUAAGAAAGAAAGAAAGAGAAAGAAAGAAAGAAAGAAAGAAAGAAAGAAAGAAAGAAAGAAAGAAAGAAAGAAAGAAAAGAAAAGAAAAGAAAAGAAAACAAAAAAAGAAAGAAAGAAAGAAAGAAAAAGCCACCAAUGGAUACCAGAUAGAUGUGGGAAAAAGAAAUGUAAUAUUUUAAUGUAUAAGCCAAUGUUUAUUAAUACUGUUAAAAAAAAUCAUGCUGCUGUUUUGUUUUCUUUAACGCUUAGCUUGAUUGGUUUGCUCUUAACAAAGAAGUUUCCUUUUGGAAAAAACUUACGUGAAGUUGUCUAAUAAUUACAUACCUAAAGAAUUCAGAGUUUAUUUUGUAUGUUUCUUUUUUGUUUUUGUUUUUGGAGAUGAAGCCUUGCUCUGUUGGCACAGGCUGGAGUGCAGUGGCACGAUCUUCGCUCACUGCUGCCUCCACCUCCUGGAUCAAGUGAUUUUACUGCCUCAGCCUCCUAAGUACCUGGGAUUACUGGUGCUAACCUGAGUAAUAUUUGUAUUUGUAAUAGAGAUGGGGUUUCAGCAUGAUGGCCAGGCUGGUCUCAAACUCCUGACUUUAAGUGCUCCACAUGCCUCGGCCUCUCAAAUUGCUGGGAUUAUGAGCAUGAACCCCUCCUGGCCUGUUUUCUUGUAUUAUAAAUUAUUGGAAGUAAAUGCAAAGAUGAUAAAGAGGCCAACUUUGUGCAUUUCUUAAAUUUAUUUUAAACUAAGGAAAUUAAAUAUAAAUUUGAAGUUACUGUUAGAAUCUAAUGCUAAAUCUCUUUAAUUAUUUAAAAUUGGAGCCAGAUGACCAAGAUGCUCCAGAUGAGCAUGAGUCCUCUCCACCAGAAGAUGCCUCGUUAUAUCCUCAUUCACCUGGUUCUCAGUAUCAAAAGUUAAAAAGGAUUUUUUAUUUUUACCCCCCAAACUCAUUUUGAUGCUUACUUAAAAGGUCUUCAGUUAUUAUUUUUUAAAACAUUUUGAAAGUCCAGCCUUUCUAUGUGCCUGGCUACUAUUUAAAACUAGAUAAACUGUUCCAAACCAACAUGGAUUUGAGACUUACCCACUGUCACUGUAAAGUAAUAACGAAAUUGUCUAGAACAGCUUCGGCAAGAUAAUCAAUAGAGGAUUGGUUGGAGUGAGGUCAUAUUUCAUUUUACUGCUGUGGUGUUUUCUUUAUCAUCAGGUACUACCCCCUUGUCCUGUUUGCUGUGGUUAAUCAAAUUAUGUAGUAUUUCAGUAAUUGUUGAAGAAACGUUAAAGCAUCAAGUAUCUGGGUGGGUACUUACCCUCAAGAUGCAGUAGCAGUAAAAUUUCUGUUUGGCUUUAAUAGAACUGAAAAACUAUAACUGAGGAAAAAUGUAAAUAAACUGUGAGAACUUCAUUUUUAAAAUAAGCAUUUUUGGGAAAAAAAAUUCUGGGAAGAUUAGUCACAAAUGUGAGUAAUGCAGUCAUUUUAAGGCAGUGAUUCUUAAAUUUAAUGUGCAUCAUAAUCAUGCAAAUGCACUAAGGAUAGCAGUUGCAGGGGAAAAUUGUCACUCUAUAGAGCUUUUGUGGGACUCAAGAAUUGGCAUUUCUUUCAGGAUUCCAAGUAUUCCUGGUCUGGAGAAAGCAUGAAAAAGGUUUCUGCUUAGCACAAUAAUUGGCAAAACUUUGUUUUGUUUUGUUUUGAGAUAAAGUCUCUAUUGCUCAAGAGCAGUUGCAUGAUCUCCGCUCACCGUAACCUCCACCCCCCAGGUUCAGGCAAUUCUCCUGCCUCAGCCUCCCAAUUAAUUGGGACUAUAGGCACAUGGCCACCACAUCCAGCUAAUUUUUGUGGUUUUGGAAGAUAUGAGGUUUCACCGUAUUGGCCAGGAUUUCUUGACCUGUAAUCCAUCCACUUUGGCAUCCCAAAGUGCUGGGAUUACAGGUGUGUGCCACCAGGCCCAGCCAAGACUCUUAAAUACAUUGUCUGUGGAGGUAAAAUGAUUUUUUUAUCUGAAACGGACCCAUUUUAUGUGUGUGCAUUUUCCCAAAACACUUUAUGUGGUACUUUUUUCUUAAAAUAUAAAUAUCAGAUUAUAGGUUUUUUCUUUUUUAAAGAUAAGUUCUUGGUUUUAAAUUUUCUAGUUUUUAACCAACCUAAGCCCAUAGUUUUACAUUUUAAUUGUUAAUAUCUGAAAAGUAUGAUAUGCUGGUCUCUUUCACCCUCUUAGAAUAAUCAUGUGCAUGGACAGCCAUAAGCAGGACCAGCAGCACGUAACUUGAACAGCCCUCAGAAAACUGGCCAACAAACACAAGUAAAUUACAAAGGCAAUGAAGAAAUAUCCUCACCUCAGAUGAAGGAUCAGUGAAAAGCACAUAAUUAACUGUUUCCAUUAUGACAAUGCAGUAAGGCAUUACCAUCCAAGCUUUCUCUGUGCCUGGCUGGUAUUGAAAACUAGAUAAACUAUUUUAAAGCAAUGUGGAGUGGAGAGCAUAUUCAGUGUCUCAUUUAUAAUAAUUUGCAGUUUGUCAGUGUAUAAGCCAUAGGCAGGGGAAGUGUACAGUGUUUUGUAAUAAAUGACUGAUCCUAAUCUGUAAAUGACAAAAGUGUAUAUAUUAUGUUAAUUUUUGACUGUUACUUCUUAAGCAAGAAACUUCUUUUGAUAAAAACAAGUCAGAUCUAUACAAUCACACAAUUUUUUUUGUUAAUGUUCACUGCAUUGUGCAAUUGAUAUUGCCUGCUUUGUGCAAUCUGACCAACUCCUUCACCGCCUUUACCCCCAUAAAAGGUAACAUAAAAAAGAGCCCAUCUUUCUCAGUUUACACCAGUAGUUUCUUGUUAAUCUUUUUUCCUGGAUCUUUAAGGUUGGUGGUUAACUUUUGAAUUAUGUGGUUGAUGUGGAAAAUCGGCAAUGUGAUGUUUCUAGACGUUUUUGUUACCUUUUUAUUCUGGUAUAGAGGUUAACCACUUUAGUUAUUCUUACAUUGUAACAAUUAGCAUGGCUUCACACUAUUUGUGUAGCCAAGAGGACAGAAUUGCUAGCCAAGAGGACAGAAUUACUAAAUGACAGCAGUUGCCCAGAGGGACAGUUGUAUUGCUCAAAGAUUUUAUUUCUUAUACCUAGAAUAAAUAUAAAAUGGGGGAAAAUGUGACAAGCAAUUUUCAUUGCAUACAUGUUCUUCACAUUUUAUGUUUGAUAGUUCAAUUUCAUUAUUAGAUAAAGAAUAUCAAAGUAUAUCUAAUAGGAAUUUUAAAAUAUUAAAACCAGUAUGCAAAAUUUUUCUGUGUCGGAAUAUGUAAAGCAUAAUAGACUGUAUUUGUUGCACUUGGUUUUUGUUGUUGUUGUUGUUGUUGUUGAAUUUAUUAACUGGAGCUUCUAAAAGUUUGCUUGUUUUAAUCAAGUGAAGUGUACUUCAUCAGAAUCAACAGUACUUUGAAAUACCAUUGCACCAAGAUGCCUGACUGAAUUACUAGUCAGUCACAAUUUUACUUGAAAGCAAGAAUUGUCCUAGUAGUUUUUUUUUUCUGUUACUCUAAAACCCUUGUUGUUAAAUAUAAGGUUUAAUUAAAAUAUAAGCUCCUGCUUAUGUUAAUGUAAUUCUAAGGUACCAUUUUGGAAUAACAUUUGUUGUAAGAUUACAAGAAACCCAUGAGUUAAUGCCGUAUUUAAAAAGAGAAUUGGUAAAUUUUGAAUGUGUGUAACAUUUUGGAACCUGUUUAAAAACCACAUAUCCCUGCAAAUAGAUCCAGCCUGUCCUUCCUAUACUAUUUAAAUAUUUUGCUGUUUUGAUUAAUAGAAAUUAUUUUGCUGAAUUCACAAAUAGAAUUCUGAUUUAAGAAGAAUUUUG